rnacentral:rRNA from 1 species
CGUGUAGGCGGACAGGUAAGUCCGGUGUAAAAGCCCCCGGCUCAACCGGGGAAGGCCAUCGGAGACUGCCUGUCUCGAGUGCGGGAGGGGAGAGUGGAACUCUUGGUGGAGCGGUGAAAUGCGUAGAUAUCAAGAGGAACGCCGGUGGCGAAAGCGGCUCUCUGGCCCGUGACUGACGCUGAGGCGCGAAAGCUAGGGGAGCAAACGGGAUUAGAUACCCCGGUAGUCCUAGCCCUAAACGAUGGGUACUAAGUAGGGGCGGCUCCGAUGUCGUCUCUGCUGUAGCCAAUGUGCUAAGUACCCCGCUGGGGAGUACGGUCGCAAGGCUGAA